rnacentral:rRNA from 1 species
UACGAAGGGGGCUAGCGUUGCUCGGAAUCACUGGGCGUAAAGGGUGCGUAGGCGGGUCUUUAAGUCAGGGGUGAAAUCCUGGAGCUCAACUCCAGAACUGCCUUUGAUACUGAGGAUCUUGAGUUCGGGAGAGGUGAGUGGAACUGCGAGUGUAGAGGUGAAAUUCGUAGAUAUUCGGAGGAACACCAGUGGCGAAGGCGGCUCACUGGCUCGGUACUGACGCUGAGGUGCGAAAGCGUGGGGAGCAAACAGGG